AGGCUCCUACGGGAGGCAGCAGUAGGGAAUCUUCCACAAUGGGCGCAAGCCUGACCCAGCAACGCCGCGUGAAGGAAGAAGGCUUUCGGGUUGUAAACUUCUUUUAAGAGGGACGAAGAAAGUGACGGUACCUCUUGAAUAAGCCACGGCUAACUACGUGCCAGCAGCCGCGGUAAUACGUAGGUGGCAAGCGUUAUCCGGAUUUAUUGGGUGUAAAGGGCGUGUAGGCGGGAAUGCAAGUCAGAUGUGAAAACUAUGGGCUCAACCCAUAGCCUGCAUUUGAAACUGUAUUUCUUGAGUGCUGG
rnacentral:rRNA from 1 species